rnacentral:rRNA from 1 species
AUUGAACGCUGGCGGCAGGCCUAACACAUGCAAGUCGAACGGUAACAGGAAACAGCUUGCUGUUUCGCUGACGAGUGGCGGACGGGUGAGUAAUGUCUGGGAAACUGCCUGAUGGAGGGGGAUAACUACUGGAAACGGUAGCUAAUACCGCAUAACGUCGCAAGACCAAAGAGGGGGACCUUCGGGCCUCUUGCCAUCGGAUGUGCCCAGAUGGGGUUAGCUAGUAGGUGGGGUAACGGCUCACCUAGGCGACGAUCCCUAGCUGGUCUGAGAGGAUGACCAGCCACACGGGAACUGGGACACGGUCCAGACUCCUACGGGAGGCAGCAGUGGGGAAUAUUGCACCAUGGGCGCAAGCCUGAUGCAGCCAUGUCGCGUGUAUGAAGAAGGCCUUCGGGUUGUAAAGUACUUUCAGCGGGGAGGAAGGGAGUAAAGUUAAUACCUUUGCUCAUUGACGUUACCCGCAGAAGAAGCACCGGCUAACUCCGUGCCAGCAGCCGCGGUAA